GACGUAGGGCGCGAGCGUUGUCCGGAUUUAUUGGGCGUAAAGAGCUCGUAGGCGGCUUGUCGCGUCGUCCGUGAAAACCCACAGCUCAACUGUGGGCUUGCGGUCGAUACGGGCAGGCUAGAGUUCGGUAGGGGAGACUGGAAUUCCUGGUGUAGCGGUGAAAUGCGCAGAUAUCAGGAGGAACACCAAUGGCGAAGGCAGAUCUCUGGGCCGUAACUGACGCUGAGGAGCGAAAGCAUGGGGAGCGAACAGG
rnacentral:rRNA from 1 species